rnacentral:rRNA from 1 species
AUGAUCAUGGCUCAGAAUCAACGCUGGCGUAGUGCCUAACACAUGCAAGUCGAACGCGAAAGUGGGGCAAUCCAUGAGUAGAGUGGCGAACGGGUGAGUAACACGUGGGUGACCUACCCUCGAGUGGGGGAUAACAUCCCGAAAGGGGUGCUAAUACCGCAUGACAUCCUGCCUUUGAACAGGUGGACAUUAAAGCCGGGGAUCGCAAGACCUGGCGCUCGAAGAGGGGCCCGCGCCCGAUUAGCUAGUGGGGUGAGGUAACAGGCUCACCAAGGCUACGAUCGGUAUCCUGGCCUGAGAGGGCGGACGGACACACCGGGACUGAGACACGGCCAGACUCCUACGGGAGGCAGCAGUGGGGAAUUGUUCGCAAUGGGCGAAAGCCUGACGACGCAACGCCGCGUGGAGGAUGACGAUCUUCGGGUCGUAAACUCCUUUCGAUCGGGACGAAUGAUCGGUGACCUAACACGUACAUCGGCAAUGACGGUACCGAGAGAAGAAGCCCCGGACUAACUCCGUGCCAGCACGCCGCGGUAAUACGGGGGGGCGCAAGCGUUGUUCGGAAGUUACUGGGCGUUAAGGGCGCGUAAGA